UCCCCUCUCUUCUUCCCUCUUCAUGCUCUCUUCUUUCCCUCGUGCCCUCUCUCUCUCUCUAUCUCUCCUGUGCUCUCCUCCCACUCCCAUGCUUCCUCACUGCAGCCUUUUGCUUCUUCCCUCUUUCUUUCCCUUUUCAUCAUCAUCUUCUUCUUUCUUUUUUUCUCAUCUUCUUCUUUUUUUUUCUUUAGGUGGCUGUUGUCUUGAUUUGCUUCUUCAACAGAGUAGGUAAGCCCUAAACACUCUUUGUAUUUAGCUGAUUUUAGUUAUGAAUUAUUUGGUAGAUGAUGGGAUGAUAAGAGAGGUAAAAGCAGAAAACUUUAAGCAUUGGGAUAGAAAAGAAUUUGAGAGGGAAAAAGAUUGUCA
rnacentral:lncRNA from 1 species